rnacentral:lncRNA from 1 species
AUGGCAGCGGCGGCGACGCGCCAUCUUGUAGCGGGCCUGGCCCCGGCCAUUCAUUCGGCACGGGGACCCCGGGGACCCCGGCCAGGGCCCCCGCCCCCCGCCCCGCCGGCGCCGCACCGGGCGAGGGGGGACCGCAGCGGGCUGACCGCGGGGCCGCCUCCCACUUCUUGCUACAACCCCACAGCCGACCAUCCCCGCUCGGCCCUCCCCGCGCCGCUCUUUGUCCGCCUCAAGUCCACCCCGAGUGGCCGGCGGCGGCCGCGCCUCAGCUUCCUCAUUUCACGGGCCCUUCCUUCGCCCCGUGGCCACCAAGCACUAACUUCAAAGUCCCCAGAGGAGCUGUGUGGAAAGCACCGCGUCCCUCCGAGGCCAAGGGCGAGCCUUCAGCCCACCGCACGAGCCCGCCGCUCCCUUUGUUCUCGCGGCCCCGGCCCGGCCGCCCAGAGACCCCGGCCCUCGACUCUCGGGGCCCGGACCCCCGGACCCAGCACCCGGGACCGCGGGCCUGGGACCCAGACCCCAGAACUCGGACCCACAGACCCACACCCGGGACCCCAGCCCCCGGUCCCCCCGACCCUUGCGCCGGAGCCCGAGCUCCCGCCCCCGACCCCAGCCAAAGCCCGCAGGGCCCCCGCCCGCUCCCGGCCCGCGACCCCACCCGGGCGGGGCAGGAAGACGCUCGGCCCGGCCGCGGGGUGGGGGCGGGGAGGGUGGGGGCGGGGCGGCCCGGGCGGGCAACUGCGGGGGAGGGGCCCGGGCCCGGGUCGCGGGGACGGGCCGGGGCCACCGCGCUCACCUCGGUGCCUUGUCCCGCCUGACGCGCCCGCGCCCCGCCGCCUCAGCCGCCUCGGCCGCCGCUCUGGAGGUGGAAGCGCUCGGGCCGCUCCGCGGGCGCUGCGGGCAGGUGCGCCGGCGAAGCUCGCUCCGGUCCCGCGGCGGCUGCUCCACUCCCGCGCCCGCUCCCGCUCCCGCUCCCGCUCCGCCGCCGCCUCCGUCCGCCCCUCAGACGCCUCCAGCCAUCGGGAUGGGCGCGGCGGCCCCUGCCCGCAGCCUCGGGAAACCCCACGCCGCGUCACCGCGCACACCGCGCGCGCACGCAGGCCGGGCCGCGGCCCCGGCGCGCGCACGUCCGCGCUCUUCCUCUCUGCGCCGACCCCAGUAGCGUGUGCGAGCCGCUUAAAGGGGCCGCGCCCGCCCUCGGGGAACCCGCUCGCGGAGGCCCUCAGGCAGGGGCCGCCCCUUCCCGGGGCCCCAGGGGCAGAGAGCGAGGCUCUGUGCUACCUCGGGCCUUCCCACUGCAGUCCUGCUCAGCUUUCCAGCCAAGGGGACGUGGGUACAGGCCGCAGGAUCACAGCUGAAACUCUCCCGGCCCUGCACCCGCAUCUCGCGCACAUGCAAUGUACUCGCACCUGGCACUCUGCACCGUGCAUUCGGCACCCUACAUCUGCACCCUGCACCGUGCAUUCAGCACCCACAUCUGCGUUCUGCACGGCUACCCGCACGUGCACAUUCCCAACUCAGGCCGGCCCCCAGGCGUAA